rnacentral:rRNA from 1 species
GAUGAACGCUGACAGAAUGCUUAACACAUCAGCAAUUGAUUGGUGGCGGACGGGUGAGUAACGCGUAAAGAACUUGCCUCACAGCUAGGGACAACAUUUGGAAACGAAUGCUAAUACUUAAUCCUGUGAGAGAGCUUUGCGUGCCAUUAGCUAGUUGGUGAGGUAACGGCUCACCUAGGCGAUGAUGGUUAGCCGGACUGAGAGGGUGAUCGGGCACAGGGGGCCUCGGACACGGCCCUUAGUCAUACGGGCGGCAGCAGUGGGGAAUAUUGGACGAUGGACCAAAGUAUGAUCCAGCAAUUCUGUGUGUACGGUAAAGUUUUCGGGAUGUAAAGUGCUUUGAGUUGGGAAGCGGUACCAACAGAAGAAGUAACGGCUAACUACGUGCCAGCAGCCGCGGUAAUAC